AUUGAACGCUGGCGGAAUGCUUUACACAUGCAAGUCGAACGGCAGCACGGGGGCAACCCUGGUGGCGAGUGGCGAACGGGUGAGUAAUACAUCGGAACGUGCCCAGUCGUGGGGGAUAACGUAGCGAAAGCUACGCUAAUACCGCAUACGAUCUCUGGAUGAAAGCGGGGGACCGCAAGGCCUCGCGCGAUUGGAGCGGCCGAUGGCAGAUUAGGUAGUUGGUGGGGUAAAGGCUCACCAAGCCGACGAUCUGUAGCUGGUCUGAGAGGACGACCAGCCACACUGGGACUGAGACACGGCCCAGACUCCUACGGGAGGCAGCAGUGGGGAAUUUUGGACAAUGGGCGCAAGCCUGAUCCAGCCAUUCCGCGUGCAGGAUGAAGGCCCUCGGGUUGUAAACUGCUUUUGUACGGAACGAAAAGGCUCUGGUUAAUACCUGGGGCUCACGACGGUACCGUAAGAAUAAGCACCGGCUAACUACGUGCCAGCAGCCGCAGUAAAAC
rnacentral:rRNA from 1 species